UGACAUAAGUGUCAUAAGUCUAUCUCCCACUUGUGCUUGCACAAAAGUGGAAGAUAGACUUCAUGACACGCCCCACAUGGAGCACGGAAGGACGCUUUAGCGGCUUGGGAGUGCGGAACGAUUCUAUGUCG
rnacentral:sRNA from 1 species